UGGAGCUGCAGCUGAGGCCUAUGCCACAGCCACAGCCUCACCGCAUCCAAGCUAUCCAAGCUUCAUCUGCAACCUACGCUGCAGCUUGAAACAAUGCCAGAUCCUUAACCCACUGAGCAAGACCAGGAACUGAACGUGCUUCCUUACAGAGACAACACCAGGUCCCUAACCCACUGAGCCACAACAGGAACUCCCUUACCCGUUCUCUUUUUAAAUUAAGAGUCCCAAUCGGUCAAAAACAUUUUGUUUUCUGCUGCAGUGUUUACAAGUUUUUUUGAGGGAACGGGAAGAACAAGGAGGAUUCAAAUAAGAACACAGCACCAAUGAAUAAGAUUUCCUAUUUGCUUCGUUUCUCAGACCAGAAGAUCCAAAACAUGGUGCUCUUUCCUAAAAUCCCAACACUGAACUUCAGAGUACUUCUGGAGAGACAUAUAAUUCACUUAAAUGUAUCUUCUUCAAAGGCUUUCUCUGAUAUUUAUUGUCCAUAUUAUUCUUAAAAUAUCUUAUUUUUUUAAAAGUAGGGGAAAACGGGGGUUAUUAAAAUUAAUAAUAGGUAAACUAUUUUAAUAAAUAAGAGAAAGGAGGCUAAUCUGCCUUAUAGAAUUGCAGAUAACAUACAUAAACAGACACCUCCUCAUCCCAGGACAUGGGAACUUGACUCAAUACAAGGCAAACACUACAGCAACCAAGUGAAGAAGGUUAGCAUCACCAACGAUGUUUUGUGGGUAUUAUGUUGCCUCCAACAUUCUAUGAUGUGAUGAGAAAUGCAUUUCAUCUCUGUGGUAUUUUUUCUAAAAACUGAUAAUCCAUCUAUAAUCAUGAAAAAAAAUCAGACAAACCCAUUUUGGGGGACACUUUAUAGGAUACAUAACCAGAACUCAAGACAGUCAAGGUUAUGAAUAAUGAGGAAAGACGGAGAAACUAUCACAGACCAGAGGAGACUGGGGAGACAUGACAACCAAAUACGAUGUGGCACCCGGGAUUAAAUCUGGAACAGAAAGAGGCCAUUAAUGGGAAAACCAGUGAAAUCCAAAAAAAAGCCUGGAAUUUAGCUAAUAGUAAAUACCAAGACUGACAAAUGUACUAAGGAAACGUAAGACGUUAACAAUAGGGGGAAAUGGGUGCAGGGUGUAGAUAUACAAGAAUUCUCUGCACAAUCUUUCCAACUCACCUACAAAUCUAAAAUUAGUCCAAAAUAAAAAAUUUAAAAGGAAAAGCAGCAAAAUGUGGGGUCAUUUAAAUUAAUAUUGAAAAAUACAAACAAAACCUUUCUGUUUGUUAAAAUAAAGAUUUUCCUACUGUGGCACUGCUGGUUCUCUGCAGCACCAGGACGCAGGUUCCAUUGUGAGCCAUGAUCCCCGGCAAAGUGGGUUAAAGGAUAUGGCGUUGCCACAGCUGUGGCGUAGGUCACAACUGCAGCUCGGAUCUGAUCCCUGACCUAGGAACUCCAUAUGCCUUGGGGUGGCCAAAAAACGAAAAAUAAAUGUGCUUUGCAGCUUAAAUAAAGUGCUUAUUAGUAAUAUAAUUUUAUAUUGAAAAGCUAAAAUUUUCCAUUCGGCAUUGAUUUACAUAGCACUUCUUGCCUACCAGAAGACUUUGAAGACAUCACUAGGUUCAGAUACAUUUAAUGGAUAUCAAAGAGGAAAGACUCCCCAAUACUAAUUCUUAAGAAAUACACUUAAAACUAGAAGAGCUAUAUUAAUAUAUUAAUUGCUUAUUUGUAUGAUUAAAUCCUGUUAAUUCUUCCUUUAAAAAUGUCUAAUAAUAAAAAAACACCUACUGAAGGGUUUACAGACCUUUCAUCAUUCAAUCAUACUCAAUAAUAGCAACCACCCUGUAAGUUAGAUACUGUCAAUAUUAUCUAUCCAUAGAUACAGAAACCAAAGCUACUGCUCGAGGCUCACAGUUGAUAAAUUGUGGAGUUAGGAUUAGAAUCUGAAUUAUUCAUUUUUGGUUUUAGUCAACAGCUUCAUUGAAUCCUCUCUGAUUAUGGUAAAUGUAUACACUUUUUCCUCAUCCUUAAAAAAUAAGUUAAUCAGGCGUUCCCAUUGUGACUCAGUGAUAACAAACCCAACUAGUAUUAUGAGGACAUGGGUUCGAUCCCUGGCCUUGCUCAGUGGGUUAAGGAUCCAGCAUUGCUGUGAGCUGUGGUAUAAAUCGCAGACGUGGCUUAGAUUCCAUGUUGCUGUGGCUGUGGUGCAGACUGGCAGCUGUAGCUCUGAUUUGACCCCUAGCCUGUGAACUUCCAUAUGCCGUGGGUAUGGCCCUAAAAAGCAAAAAAAGAAAGAAAGAAAGAACAAGAAAUAUGUUAACAAAACCCUCAAAUAAUCCAUACAAUUGGAGUUCCCAGGCAACAGGAUCAGCAGCAUUCUGGGAGUCGCAGCAGGUUAGGUAUCCAGUGUUGUCACUGCAGUAGCUCAGGUUACUGUGUGGUGCAGGUUCAAUCCCUGGCCAGAGAACUUCCACAUGCCAUAGGUGUGGAAAAAAAUAUAUGGAACAAAAGAUAAACACAGAUAAAAUAUAUGCCUUAUGCAUACAAAAUAUUAUCAUAAAACAUACCCUUUUAUCUCUGCCAUAGAUUAAAAGUGGCUCAGCAAUGUGCAAAUCCUUAAUAACAUAAACUUUCAAAAAUUAAACUCCCUAAAAAUGUCCCAGAUUUUUGUGUGUGUGUGUGUGUGUGUGUGUGUCUUUUCUAGGGCUGCUCCCGUGGCAUAUGGAGGUUCCCAGGCUAGGGGUCGAAUCGGAGCUGUUGCCACCGGCCUAUGCCAGAGCCACAGCAACCCCAGAUCCAAGCCACGUCUUGGACCUACACCACAGCUCACGGCAACGCCGGAUCCUUAAUCCACUGAGCGAGGCCAGGGAUCGAACCUGCAACCUGAUGGUUCCCAGUCAGAUUCAUUAACCACUGCGCCACGACGGGAACUCCUCAAAUUCUUAAUUUCACUGACAGUCUCUCGGAAAGUUUCUUAACAGCCUCAGUUAACUGUCAAUAAUUCCUGUCAUCACAUAAGAGCUCAAGGAGCAGAUAAUCAAAAUGCAAAUGCAUUUCACUUAUAGAUUAUAGAGUUUUGUGGCCCUGAUACAACUAUGUUAGAAGUGUGAUCCUAUUCCAGAACAUAAAAUUUCUUGUAAAGUAAGAACAUUUUUCUCUCCUUCACCUUAAUUCCCAAGCAGUCAUUACAAAGAACCAUAGCCAUUACAAAGAACCAUAAAAUAGAAUAUUUCUUUUCACAUAAUCCCAUCAAAUGCAAGUAUGUAUUUACUAAUUAAUACUUCUUUUCUGUACUUAUUUAAAUGUUAAACACUAAUAUUUACUUAUUAAUACUACUUGUAUACAUGCAGCAGGUACUUAUUUACUUAUUAAUACCACUAUAAAGCAGUAUUAGACAUUUUCUGGAAGUCCCUACUCAAACGACUUACGCAAGCAAAAUAGUUAACAGCACAUGUUAAUAAAUAAAUGAUGCAGGCAAUAAAUGCCACCAGUUUUCACCACCUUAGAAAAGAAAUUAACGUAAGAAUACUUAUGAAAAAGAGUCCAUUUUGUCCAAAGAAAAUGGAAUGUUUACUCCAUCAUGCAAGGUAAUAACCAAGUGGUUCAGUGACUACAACAUUUACCUCAUUCUAGCUACUAAUCUAACAUGUGACCUUGGAAAAAGAAAUUCUCUGAAUUUUAUUUCUCUCAUCCAUAAAAAUACCAUUCUAUAUAAAAAAGCUUGGCAAAACAAAUGAAAUACACAUUCUAUAUUUUUACAAAGUUCUAGGGGAUAUUUACAACAAUGUUAAAUGACAAUAACUUCAGAGGAUACUUUUCCAGAAGUGUCCUUGACAAAUGCACAGAUCAAUCCCAACUAGGUAAGUUUCAACUAAAAGCCACCAACUUUUAAAGAAUAUAUCAAAAUUAUAAGCCUUUAUGACACCUACAUCCAACGACUAUAAAGCAUUUCACAAAUAUCAAUUAACAUUUAUAAUUUGCCAUGGCAAGGUAUAAAGUUCUACUUAAAUGACUAGGCAAAACAUCCUAUCAAACCAGCAACAAAGCUAAAACAAUUCAAAAAGGCUUCACUGCUACUUACUAUUAGACAUAAUACAACAUCUUUCUUCACAAAACACAGAUUUCUCUAAGUCAUAUACCAUUAGUUUUGUUUUAUUUUAUUAUUAUUUUUUUUUGUCUUUUGUCUAUAGGGCCACACCCUCGGCACAUGGAGGUUCCCAGACUAGGGGUCAAAUCGGAGCUGCUGCCACCGGCCUAUGCCAGAGUCACAGCAACCCCAGAUCCGAGCCACGUCUUCGACCUACACCACAGCUCACAGCAACGCCUGAUCCUUAAUCCACUGAGCGAGGCCAGGGAUCUAACCCACAACCCUAUGGUUCCUAGUCAGAUUUGUUUCUGCUGCGCCACAACGGGAACUCCACCAUUAUUUUAAAUAGAGCAACUUUUUAAGUAAAACAAACAAAAAACAAAGUUGUAUUGUAAAGUGGCAAAGAAUUUAAACUUAACUACUUCUCCCUUUCCAAAGUGCAUGGAAACAUAUAACCUGCCAAUGAAAUAUUUUCACAACAGAAACUUAUAGGCAAGUAAAAACUCUUUUUUAGGACCACAGCAUACUUGACAGGCAUGGUUUAAAAUCAACUGAGCCUCAAGUCCUUUUGGCAAAAGAGUGAAUGACUCACUGUUUUAGAACUCAAUGGGAAGAAUUGGAAAAUUAACUGAUUGCCCUAAGAUUUUGCUUUGGGUUUGUUUUUUUAAAGGUAUCUCCAUGCCAAUGCUGACAACUGCCAUAGUUUCUACGGCUUACCUAUUAAGAUGACAAAAAUUGUGAAUAAUAUGUAUCAGAGGUAAACAAAAACUAAGGUCCUCUUAUUUUCUUGGACACUGAAAUAUGAGCAAUAACGUACCUGGAAAAAAGACACCAAGUAAUUCUACUAAAAAAAAAUUAAUCUACCUCAAUCUCAUUAAGUUUCCUAAGUAUAGGAUUAUGAAGAAUUUUAAAAAUCAAUCUCCAAAUUAAGCAAAAGAUUCUGCUGCAAAUAUCAGAAACACACACAGAUAAACACUGGAACUAAAAGCUCUCUUCAGUCAAAUUAUUUUUAAACUCCUAAUCAACUAAUUAUUACUGAAAAAUCACAGCCCUUAGUGAAUUUUUAUAGCUACAAAUACUAUAUGGGAUGGGGAUAUGUCAGACACAUGACAGUGAAUUAUCAUACUAACCUCAUUCCUCACCUUAUGAACUCUUCUACUUUCUAAUCAUAUUAAAAAUAACAAAAAAUUAAAAAUAUAUCAUACUCUGACAAAGUUAUAAGGCUCAUCAAAAUCAUAUUUACUACAUGAAUCUGACAUUCUCCUGAGAAUGCCUGAUACAAGAGCUUAAAAUGAUCUACUCUCUCUUAUGGUAGUAUCUUAGUAAAAGGUCUCUUCCAAGGGACAACACAAGAGAACGGGUCUAUAUAAAGAGCAUUUAACACAAAUUAUUUUAUCCUUUCUUGCUCAUUUUGAUGUUCAUUAUUUAAAAAUCACAAAUUUAAUGUUUUAAUGCAAACUAACAUUAAAAGAAAACAUCCGUAAUAUUAUCAGGUUUCUGGAAUAUUUCUACUCCUGUUUCUUGCCAAAUAUUUCUGGCAUUCAUUAAUUUACAAUUAUUUGACUAAAACAAUAAAAAAUAUUAAGAAGGGUGUGUAUGUAUAUAUACAUCUCUAUAUAAAGACAAUAAGUAUCUGCUUCAGAGCAGGGACAUUUGCUUUUUACCCCAAUCUUUCAAUACCCACCUUGCAAAAAAGGUGGAAACUAAAAACAUGACAUUUCUAAGAUUUACCACAGAGAAAUGCCUUUGUUGUAGCACCAAUUAGCAUCAAAUAACCUUACAAAACAUAAGCAAGAGAAAAAUGCUAUCAAAGGGCAAUCUAGCAUUUCACAGCUUCAGCUCUCUUACUCCACCCAGUCUCCCUGGCUCAAUGGCUGUUCACAGCAUCUACAAAUAUUAGCCCAUUUUAAAAAAAAAAGGAGGUGGGGGAGAGGCACUGAAAUUGGGCUAGUUCCAUCAAAAUCAAUAUACACAGAAAUAAUUUGUGAAAAACUGGGUUCCAGUUUCUGAUUUAUAAAAACAACAGCUACAAAUUUGUUUAGGAGAUCCUCUUCUUGUGAACAAUCCAAACAAUGAUCAUUUAUAAUAGAACAUGAAAGAAAAAAAUCACCCUAAAUACAGAUUACUCUUCUGCUUUAAUAAAAACUGCAAUUUGCAACUGCCAAUUAUUUUGCAAAACUGUGUCCUGAAAGAUACCCAUGAGAGAUUAAGCUAGCUAAUGCCUUAAACCCAAUCAAAAAAUUUUAAGUAAAAGCUUUUAAUAUAUCCAAUAUUAUAUCACUACCGACAUACCCAACCAGGAAAUUUUCCUGAUUAAAAGACUGGAGCUGCAGCAAUCAAGCCCUGCUGCAGCAAAAAAGAAGAGAGAAAAAAAAUUUUUCAAGCAAAUACUACUGUGGCUGAAGCGGAGGGAUGACAUUACCGGUAUGGAAGGCCCAAGCACUGUCUCCUCCGCCCUAGCCUCAAAAUGAAAUUCACACAAAACAACCCACCUCCCAACAAAAAUAGAAUUACCAAAAAUAGCACAAUUUUUUUUGUUUAGCCUUUAAAACGUUACGAACCUCAAAGAUUGUGUGUUAAAGUAGAGGUCAGAAUAACAGUAAUAUCUUUAUUCUCUUCCGAUUGCCUCUUUAGCAAAGUGGGGGGGUGGGGGAAAACCUUGGCAUGACAUCGCCCAUUGAGAAUCACAAAUCUGGUUCUUCGCUUCCAAAGCACAAUUUUGUAACCAAAGGAUUGAUAUAAAUUGGACCCAAACCUCAAGCCCAAAAGAAAAAUCUCCUGCUCUCCUCCCAAGGAGUUUCUUGCUAAGUCACCAAAGAAAAGCAGAAUAACAUAAAACCAAGGCACCUUGCUCUCCCUUAUCUCAGAUACUGAAAAACCUCCUCUUCCUCUCCACUCUUCUGUUUAGAGUGGUAGAGUUAAAAUUUGCCCUGGUACCUCCUCAAAGGCAUAUUCUCACCUGCGAGGCUAAGGAAGGCACUGCGCUUCCUAUAUGAGUGGAGAGAUUAGAUUAGAUGAAGGAGAAUGGCUGAGGGCCUCGAAGCUCAGGGUUACAACGUCAAAAGGCAACUCCCGUUUAAGGAGCCGGUGGCAGAACAGAAAAUCCUGCCGGAUUUGGUGGGUGGAUGCUGCAGAUGGUUCGGUGGGUCGGGCCGCUCCUCCUUAAUGGGUGCGGAGGCUCGACCACCGCACAGGGGGGCCAGGGAUGGGCUGGGCCAUCAUUCUCGGGUCAACCCCAUCCUAAGGACAGGUGGGGGACAGAACGCCUCAAGGCCUGUGGGUGCCGAGGCGGCUCCGAGCGGAGCCCGGUUCCUUAGCGCCAACCGCGGGUGGGGUGGGGACUGCGGAGCUCGCCUUCCGCGCCGGUGGAGAGAAGGGCCGAAUCCUUUCCCCAAGAUCAUAGAGCGACCUGCUCUCCACGCCCUUUCUACCCAAGAAUACUUUUCUUGCUAAGUCACCGAGGGAGGAGGGCGAUCCCUUUCCCGGAGGGCCACGGGUGGAGCCGCGGAGGCCCUGGCACCCCCGGAACCCGGGCCAGGGAGGAGGGGAGCGAGGGCAGCGCCCUCCCGGGCCUGUCCCCCCUCCUCC
rnacentral:lncRNA from 1 species